UACGUAGGAGGCAAGCGUUGUCCGGAAUUACUGGGUGUAAAGCGCGUGUAGGCGGCAGGCCAAGUCUGUGGUGAAAUCGCUCGGCUCAACUGGGCGGGGUCCAUGGAAACUGGUCAGCUGGAGGACGGUAGAGGUGAGUGGAAUUCCUGGUGUAGCGGUGAAAUGCGUAGAUAUCAGGAGGAACACCGGUGGUGUAGACGGCUCACUGGACCAUAACUGACGCUGAGACACGAAAGCGUGGGUAGCAAACAGG
rnacentral:rRNA from 1 species